rnacentral:sRNA from 1 species
GCCGUGAGGUGUUGCCUUAAGUGGCGCAACGAGCGCAACCCCUGUCCUUAGUUGCCAGCGGGUAAUGCCGGGAACUCUAGGGAGACUGCCGGUGCCAAACCGGAGGAAGGUGGGGAUGACGUCAAGUCAUCAUGCCCCUUAUGUCCAGGGCUGCACACAUGCUACAAUGCGCGAUACAGAGGGCUGCGAUCCCGCAAGGGGGAGCGAAUCCCAAAAAGUCGCGCUCAGUUCGGAUCGGGGUCUGCAACUCGACCCCGUGAAGUCGGAGUCGCUAGUAAUCGCAGAUCAGCAAUGCUGCGGUGAAUACGUUCCCGGGCCUUGUACACACCGCCCGUCACACCACGAAAGUGGGUAACACCCGAAGCCGGUGGCCUAACCCUUGUGGAAGGAGCCGUCGAAGGUGGGAUCCGCGAUUGGGGUGAAGUCGUAACAAGGUAGCCGUACCGGAAGGUGCGGCUGGAUCACCUCCUUUCUAAGGAGCCUUUGGCGAUCCGGUGGAUCUCGCCGAACGCGCGAGAUCCUGCAGUACCGGAGGCUUCAGGUCGGUGCACUGGCUAUUCUUUUGACACCCAUUCCCGACGGCGUCUAGUAGUCCCUCUCGAGGGGCGAACGGGCCGGCCGUGGAUGGGCUUCGUCAUGGGGACACACUGUUCAGCUUUGAGGGUGCGAGCCCUCGUUGGACCUUGAGAACUCGAUAGCGAGCGCGAGCAUCUACAGUCAAGUUACAAAGGGCUUACGGUGGAUGCCUUGGCGCCAGGAGCCGAUGGAGGACGCGUCAGGCUGCGAUAAGCCUUGGGGAGCUGCCGAGAGAGCUGAGAUCCGAGGAUGU